CGGGCGGUAGCUCAGUUUGGUAGAGCUUCCGGCUGUAGACCGGAGUGUCGCUGGUUCAAAUCCGGCCCGCCCGACCA
rnacentral:tRNA from 1 species